rnacentral:pre_miRNA from 1 species
AGGAGGAACAGCCCCAGUGGCGGGGCAGCUCUGGAGCCCUGGAGUCAGCCCCCGCAGUAACUCCGGAGCUCUCCGUCUGCAGGGCCUGGAGGCUCCGGGCGGGG